AUUGAACGCUGGCGGCAGGCCUAACACAUGCAAGUCGAACGGUAACAGGAAACAGCUUGCUGUUUCGCUGACGAGUGGCGGACGGGUGAGUAAUGUCUGGGAAACUGCCUGAUGGAGGGGGAUAACUACUGGAGACGGUAGCUAAUACCGCAUAACGUCGCAAGACCAAAGAGGGGGACCCUCGGGCCUCUUGCCAUCGGAUGUGCCCAGAUGGGAUUAGCUUGUUGGUGGGGUAACGGCUCACCAAGGCGACGAUCCCUAGCUGGUCUGAGAGGAUGACCAGCCACACUGGAACUGAGACACGGUCCAGACUCCUACGGGAGGCAGCAGUGGGUAAUAUUGCACAAUGGGCGCAAGCCUGAUGCAGCCAUGCCGCGUGUAUGAAGAAGGCCUUCGGGUUGUAAAGUACUUUCAGCGGGGAGGAAGGGAGUAAAGUUAAUACCUUUGCUCAUUGACGUUACCCGCAGAAGAAGCACCGGCUAACUCCGUG
rnacentral:rRNA from 1 species